UCAGCUCUACUUUUAUUUGACAAUCUUGCGAUUGAAUUCAGUGUAAUUAUUAUGAGAGAUAAUUUUUUAAAUUUUAACGUAGCAAUUGGUGUCGGAAGUGGGAUUGUUGAAUAAGGUCCCAAGAACAAGCUCGUGAAAAUAGCAAAGCUAAGCGAAGUCAAGAUUCAGCAUCUUAAGAAAGAGUUGGAACAGCGUGGCUUGUUAACUACGGAUAACAAGGCAAUGCUACAAGAACGUCUACUUAAAGCUAUGGAGGGACAAGGCGUCGAUAUAGAUGAAUAUAUGCUCCAGGUGGAAGCUGAGGGGUCAUCGACCAAAAUGGAAAAUAGGGCAGAACCUACAGGACCUUCACCAGGCAUCCUCGGUAUAAAAAAACGCUAUGUUUUAUAUAUGUAUGGCGAAAAGAACGUUCCCAAAAAAAAAAAAAUUUGAUGCCGUUUUCAAUCAUGUAUAUUACUUGGAAAAAUUAAGGACAUUAAUAUUUCUGAUGAAAUGAAGAAGGAUUUAAUGCAAAAAGUACAAUACAUCAUGUGUGGCUAAAUUCGGAGCUGAAGUUGGUGUUAAAUAGCAUUCUCAAAAAAGCAACUAUAUACAAGCAUCGAUAAUAUCACAUAUUACAACCAUGAACGGCAACUCAGAGAAAUCAUACACAAUCAACACAGCGAACAACUUAAAGUACUCCACAUAUUUUCCUCAAACUCAAUCUACAAAUUCAGCAAUAUCCAAAAACUCUCAACAUUUUUGAUACCUAUUGAAGAAAACCCAGUACAUUUUACGUUCUUUAUCAUAAUGGGUUUCCUUACUUUAGUAGUCAUCACUUAUGGUAUGGUACAUCUCUGCCGAUACUAUGAAAAUAGGAGAAUGCUUCGCAGACAAAGCUAAAUUGACAAAUUAUACGAAAUCGAACCGUCUUCAACAGCAACUCGGAGCAGCACCAUAGCGGGGACGCUCCGUUAUAAGAGGGAGGAGAGUUAACGACGUGAAUGGUUAUUUGGCACUUGCGAGCACAUUGUAGUUCAAGAUUAUGUACGUUUGCUGAGCUAUUGGUGCAAAGGGAACGUUUAUUCACGUACAUACUCGACAAUUUAUUGUGGCUGUAUCAUUGCUAUACCGCGCUGAAUCAUACAAAGCACGGGUUUGAUUCGCUGAUUAUCGAAAAGGCGUACAAAAACUUAUUAAUGCAGGUACACAAGAAUUGGGAAUAAUUUUAUCUGGUGGUGGUUUAUAUACUCCUGCAUUGAGCUUCGAAUUUUCACCUCUUCGCAUAUGUGUACGCCGUAUUACCAAGGAAGACCUCAAUGAAGCAUGGGUGUGGUUGCAAGAAAAUGAAAUGGCUGAUUUGCCACAUCGCAAUAAAGCAGCCGAUAUGGCCCGGCCACUGUUACACAAACUCAAGUAUGAAAUUUUACUAGCGUACGCAAAUAUAUAGCAAACAAGCUGCUAAGUCUCAAGCUUUUACAUCGCAAUGGCUAUAUAAUGACUACAUGAUAUGAAAUUUGCUACAAAAACGUUUUAUAUCAUUUAUUAAAAACAUGCAAACCAACCAAUAUUUCAGUUUUAAACAUACAUUUGCGAUUAUAAACCAGCAAAUUGUGUCUGCCAUUGAAUACAUUAGAUCUUUUCUUGCAUGGAUUGAAAUUGAAUGCUAAUUCAGAUAUCGAGUAUAAGCAGAUUUAGAGGACGUCAUACAGACCGAUACCGUACAGCGCACAGCAGAGGAUAACAUCCAAAUGGAUUAAAAAAAAUUAAAUUAAACUAAAUAAUUUAUUUUUCAAUCAAUUUUGCAAAGUUUAAAAACUCGUGUUCUAAAUACAGAUUAUAAAAUGAAAUGUUUCGUAUAUCUUAAAAAAAAACUUAAAAAUUCUCAUUCAUC